rnacentral:sRNA from 1 species
CUGCCGGAGUUCAACUGACUCUUUCCCAAGAGGCGCUCCUUGGCCGCCCCCCCCGCCAGUGAGGAACUGCGGAGGGUGCACGC